CAGCAGCCGCGGUAAUACGGAGGAUGCAAGCGUUAUCCGGAAUCAUUGGGCGUAAAGAGUCCGUAGGUGGCACUUCAAGUCUGCUUUCAAAGACCGAAGCUCAACUUCGGAAAGGGAGUGGAAACUGAAGAGCUAGAGUAUAGUAGGGGUAGAGGGAAUUCCUAGUGUAGCGGUGAAAUGCGUAGAGAUUAGGAAGAACACCAGUGGCGAAGGCGCUCUACUGGGCAUAUACUGACACUGAGGGACGAAA
rnacentral:rRNA from 1 species